rnacentral:rRNA from 1 species
GGAGCAUGUGGCUUAAUUUGACUCAACGCGGGAAAUCUUACCGGGUCCGGACACACUGAGGAUUGACAGGCAAUAAAUUAAAAUAUAUUAUAUAUUUUAUGUUAAAUAUGCUAGUCCUUUCAUGAUUAUGUGAUAGGUGGUGCAUGGCCGUUCUUAGUUCGUGGAGUGAUCUGUCUGCUUAAUUGCGUUUCACUAAGGGCUUAUUAAUUUAACGUGUGUUGUUAGGCGUUAACUUUGACCCCUAAUUUUAAUAAAAUUAGUGCGUGUCUUAGUUUUUAUUGCUUUUAACUCACACAAUUAAGUCCUGAAAGCAACGAACGUGACCGCAACCUCUUGUUGCCUUUAUAUUUUUUUAUUU